AGCUUUGCGCAGUGGCAGUAUCGUAGCCAAUGAGGUUUAUCCGAGGCGCGAUUAUUGCUAAUUGAAAACUAAACCUAUUUUAAGCCUAGGUUUUGUGCCAUGGUCAACUGAUCAUGGCCAUGUUUUUUAUACUUAGCCUUUUUG